rnacentral:rRNA from 1 species
AGUGAACGCUGGCGGUAGGCCUAACACAUGCAAGUCGAACGGCAGCACAGUAAGAGCUUGCUCUUACGGGUGGCGAGUGGCGGACGGGUGAGGAAUACGUCGGAAUCUACUUUUUCGUGGGGGAUAACGUAGGGAAACUUACGCUAAUACCGCAUACGACCUACGGGUGAAAGCAGGGGAUCUUCGGACCUUUCGCGAUUGAAUGAGCCGAUGUCGGAUUAGCUAGUUGGCGGGGUAAAGGCCCACCAAGGCGACGAUCCGUAGCUGGUCUGAGAGGAUGAUCAGACACACUGGAACUGAGACACGGUCCAGACUCCUACGGGAGGCAGCAGUGGGGAAUAUUGGACAAUGGGCGCAAGCCUGAUCCAGCCAUACCGCGUGGGUGAAGAAGGCCUUCGGGUUGUAAAGCCCUUUUGUUGGGAAAGAAAAGCAGCAGGUUAAUACCCCGCUGUUCUGACGGUACCCAAAGAAUAAGCACCGGCUAACUUCGUG